UUACUAACUAAUUAAAAAUAACUCAUGAAAAGUAUUAAGUAAUUUUAAAAUAAAGUAAAGGGAUUUUAGUUACCUUGUUGUCGAAAGCUGUUAAGGCAUAGUUUGUCACCUUGCCUUUGUUGGGUUGUUCAUCAUCUUUGGAUGAACUUAAUCCGUCCCAAGCUACCUUGAGGGUUUUCUUCUUUUUUUGUAGCUUCUUUUUUUUAG
rnacentral:lncRNA from 1 species